rnacentral:lncRNA from 13 species
CCUCUUUUCUUUUUUUCUUUUUGAGAUGAAGUCUCUCUCUGUUGCGCAGGCUGGAGUGCAGUGGCUGAAUCUCCGCCCCCUGCAACCUCCACCUCCCGGGUUCAAGCGAUUCUCCUGCCUCAGCCUCCUGAGUAGUUGGGACUACAGGCACAUAUCACCACGCCCGCUAUUACGGGGUAUAGCACAUUCCUGAAUGUUCUCUGGGGCUCUCGAAGGGAACUUAGAUAGUAAAGCCUUAAAACAGGUGAGUAGCUGAAACAAAAAUGAGGAUUUCUUAAAGUUUUCUCUUGGGAGAAAGAAAGGAUUUAAGGCUGGGUAUGGUGGCUCAGGCCUGUGAUCCCAGCACUUUGGGAGGCCAAGGCGGGUAGAUCACUUGAGGCCAGACGUUUGAGACCAGCUGGGCAAUAUGGUGAAACCCUGUCUCUACUGAAAUUACAAAAAUUAGCAGGUCAUGGUGGUGUAUGCCUGUAGUCCCAGCUACUUGAGAGUCUGAGGCAGGAGAAUUGCUUGACCUCAGAAGAUGGAGGCUACAGUAAGCUGAGAUCGCACCACUGCACUCCAGUCUGGGGAAGACUAUCUUAAAAAAAG